CAUUCAGGGUAUGGCUUUUGGAUACGUGAUUUGAUAUGACCCGACGAGGUCGCAUGGCGGCUAGCCCUGAUGUUUUGCUGCUCAGUCGGGGCCUGUGCCUUAGGAGGCUAGCUCACAAGUGGGACCUGGGGUCAGCAAAAGGAUAAUGGUCCGGAGGCGAGUCCGGGCUUGUCAUGGGUCAGAAAGAGUAGGCCUGCGAGUCAGUUGGGCGAACCCAUCGAGCGCCACCACUCAAUAUGCCUAGAGCAGCCAAUUGCC
rnacentral:lncRNA from 1 species